UUAACUUUUUGCCUACUCUCUUCCCGUUGUUUAACCCUUGUGUUACCCUCAAAUCUUACCGACAUGCUUUAUCCUUGGGGUCAAUUUGACCCCAGCUAAAUAAACCCUCAG